AGACACGUACACACACCUUGACACAUGCACACACGCUGACACACAGAUACACACACUGACGUAUACAUACACACACACAAUCUGACAUAUAUAUACACAUGUAUGUUAUAAUUUUUAUAUUUGCAACCACCCUCCUAGCUUACUUGCUUGGAAUCCUGGUGAUGCGGGCUGAAGCUUACUGGAGUGAGAAUACCUCUCUUCCCCAAGCUGCCUGUGUG